rnacentral:rRNA from 1 species
GACAGAGGGUGCAAACGUUGUUCGGAAUUACUGGGCGUAAAGCGCACGUAGGCGGCUUGGUAAGUUAGAGGUGAAAGCCUGGAGCUCAACUCCAGAAUUGCCUUUAAGACUGCCGAGCUAGCAGGUGAGAGAGGUGAGUGGAAUUCCGAGUGUAGAGGUGAAAUUCGUAGAUAUUCGGAAGAACACCAGUGGCGAAGGCGGCUCACUGGCUCAUACUGGACGCUGAGGUGCGAAAGCGUGGGGAGCAAACAGG